AGAGUUUGAUCAUGGCUCAGAUUGAACGCUGGCGGCAGGCCUAACACAUGCAAGUCGAACGGUAACAGGAAACAGCUUGCUGUUUCGCUGACGAGUGGCGGACGGGUGAGUAAUGUCUGGGAAACUGCCUGAUGGAGGGGGAUAACUACUGGAAACGGCAGCUAAUACCGCAUAACGUCGCAAGACCAAAGAGGGGGACCUUCGGGCCUCUUGCCAUCAGAUGUGCCCAGAUGGGAUUAGCUAGUAGGUGGGGUAACGGCUCACCUAGGCGACGAUCCCUAGCUGGUCUGAGAGGAUGACCAGCCACACUGGAACUGAGACACGGUCCAGACUCCUACGGGAGGCAGCAGUGGGGAAUAUUGCACAAUGGGCGCAAGCCUGAUGCAGCCAUGCCGCGUGUAUGAAGAAGGCCUUCGGGUUGUAAAGUACUUUCAGCGGGGAGGAAGGGAGUAAAGUUAAUACCUUUGCUCAUUGACGUUACCCGCAGAAGAAGCACCGGCUAACUCCGUGCCAGCAGCCGCGGUAAUACGGAGGGUGCAAGCGUUAAUCGGAAUUACUGGGCGUAAAGCGCACGCAGGCGGUUUGUUAAGUCAGAUGUGAAAUCCCCGGGCUCAACCUGGGAACUGCAUCUGAUACUGGCAAGCUUGAGUCUCGUAGAGGGGGGUAGAAUUCCAGGUGUAGCGGUGAAAUGCGUAGAGAUCUGGAGGAAUACCGGUGGCGAAGGCGGCCCCCUGGACGAAGACUGACGCUCAGGUGCGAAAGCGUGGGGAGCAAACAGGAUUAGAUACCCUGGUAGUCCACGCCGUAAACGAUGUCGACUUGGAGGUUGUGCCCUUGAGGCGUGGCUUCCGGAGCUAACGCGUUAAGUCGACCGCCUGGGGAGUACGGCCGCAAGGUUAAAACUCAAAUGAAUUGACGGGGGCCCGCACAAGCGGUGGAGCAUGUGGUUUAAUUCGAUGCAACGCGAAGAACCUUACCUGGUCUUGACAUCCACGGAGGUUUUCAGAGAUGAGAAUGUGCCUUCGGGAACCGUGAGACAGGUGCUGCAUGGCUGUCGUCAGCUCGUGUUGUGAAAUGUUGGGUUAAGUCCCGCAACGAGCGCAACCCUUAUCCUUUGUUGCCAGCGGUCCGGCCGGGAACUCAAAGGAGACUGCCAGUGAUAAACUGGAGGAAGGUGGGGAUGACGUCAAGUCAUCAUGCCCCUUACGACCAGGGCUACACACGUGCUACAAUGGCGCAUACAAAGAGAAGCGACCUCGCGAGAGCAAGCGGACCUCAUAAAGUGCGUCGUAGUCCGGAUUGGAGUCUGCAACUCGACUCCAUGAAGUCGGAAUCGCUAGUAAUCGUGGAUCAGAAUGCCACGGUGAAUACGUUCCCGGGCCUUGUACACACCGCCCGUCACACCAUGGGAGUGGGUUGCAAAAGAAGUAGGUAGCUUAACCUUCGGGAGGGCGCUUACCACUUUGUGAUUCAUGACUGGGGUGAAGUCGUAACAAGGUAACCGUAGGGGAACCUGCGGUUG
rnacentral:rRNA from 1 species